GAGGGUGUAGCUCAGUGGUAGAGCACAUGUUUAGCAUGUGCGAGGUCCUGGGUUCAACCUCCAGUGCCUCCA
rnacentral:tRNA from 1 species